rnacentral:lncRNA from 1 species
UGUCUCUACAGCUCAGUAUCUCGGAAAAGCUGGAUGAUAUAGCGACUAAAAUAAUCGAAUCGAAUCCUGAUGAGUUCAAUGCCCUGAACCAUGGCGAUGGUUGGUGCAAUAACAUCAUGUAUCAGUACAACGAGAAAAAUGAGAUAUCGAACACAUAUUUCGUGGAUCUUCAACUACCGAAGUGGGGAUCAGUGGCACAGGUAAAUAUUCGACUCUUAUUCCAUCGCAAUUGCCAGCUAAUCAUCUUAUUUAUCUCAGGAUUUGUACUACUUUCUCAUAUCGUCAACAAGUUUGGACAUAAAAACAUCAAAAUUUGAUUACUUCAUUUGGUUCUAUCAUUCGGAACUCGUUAAGCAUCUCCAAUUGCUGAAAUAUUCGAAGCCUCUGCCCACGCUGAGAGGCAUCCGUAAUGAUCUGUCCAAUCACAGUGGUUGGGGUGAGUAAUUCUAUCCUAAUAUCCCAUUAGCAAUCUUAAUUAUAAUCAUAAAUCUAUUAGGUUUAGUGUGCUGCACAUCUGUAAUGGGAGUUGUUUUACUGGAUCCAAUAGAGGAUGAUGAUGGUGAUUUCGAUCAAAUCCUUAGCAGUGAAGACAGUAGCUUCAAGAAAUCCAUUUUCACCAAUCCCAGAUACCGAAAGCAUGCAAAGGUCCUUUUGCCUUGGCUGCAGCAUCGUGGCGCCAUGGAAUAGUAUUAAUCAGAGUUAUGCAUAGGCUCUCAGUAAACGACAAAGCUCAAGUUUCUAUGAGGUUCGAAAGAUUACAAUAAGUGACAUCCUUGUACCUAUAUUUUAUGAUAUGAUAGUAAUUAAAUACACUUCUGCUAAUCGAAAGCCCAAA